GGGUGCGACCAUACCAGCACUAACACACCGGAUCCCAUCAGAACUCUGAACUUUAACGUGCUUUAGCGAGAGUAGUACUAGGAUGGGUGACCCCCUGGGAAGUUCUCGUGUAGUACCCC
rnacentral:rRNA from 1 species